rnacentral:rRNA from 1 species
AUUGAACGCUGGCGGCAGGCCUAACACAUGCAAGUCGAACGGAUGAGAGGAGCUUGCUCCUCGAUUCAGCGGCGGACGGGUGAGUAAUGCCUAGGAAUCUGCCUAGUAGUGGGGGACAACGUUUCGAAAGGAACGCUAAUACCGCAUACGUCCUACGGGAGAAAGUGGGGGAUCUUCGGACCUCACGCUAUCAGAUGAGCCUAGGUCGAAUUAGCCAGUUGGUAGGGUAACGGCCUACCAAGGAGACGAUCCGUAACUGGUCUGAGAGGCUGAUCAGUCACACUGGAACUGAGACACGGUCCAGACUCCUACGGGAGGCAGCAGUGGGGAAUAUUGGACAAUGGGAGAAAGCCUGAUCCAGCCAUGCCGCGUGUGUGAAGAAGGCCCUCGGGUCGUAAAGCACUUUAAGUUGGGAGGAAGGGCUUACAGCGAAUACCUGUGAGUUUUGACGUUACCGACAGAAUAAGCACCGGCUAACUUCGUGCCAGCAGCCGCCGUAA